CGGUCGCUUUGCGUGGCUCUUCUGCCGCUGUGGUCUCUGCGGCUAAGUGACUUUCGGGCCCUCGUUUGCGAGCGAGCGGCCGAGAUGCGGGAGACGCCGGGCCGUGGCGGUGCGGGCCGCUGGCCGUCGGCCCCGCGGGAGCGUGGUGAGGGCUAGCACGCAGGCUGAGGCCAUGGGAAGCCCGGCUCGUCAGGUGGCGCCACGCCGAGGACUCCGCUUUUCCGGAUGGUGGUAACCCGAGUUCGUUGCUGUCCCCUGAUGCAAGACAUGUUAAGGUAUUGUUUAAAGUAAUAGUGGCUGAGAUCUUUUCUGGGCACCCUACAAGGAUCUUCACGCUCAAAGUCUUGGGAUUGAGUAUUAACGGGUAUUAAUACAGCAUUGUUUUCAAUACGGUCCUGACCUUUAUUACUUACAAAGUUGUUUCAUGAGCCAAAUAAAGCUUGAUCGGUGAGUAAUAA